UGGGGAAUAUUGCACAAUGGGGAAAGACCCUGAUGCAGCGACGCCGCGUGAAGGAAGAAGUAUCUCGGUAUGUAAACUUCUAUCAGCAGGGAAGAUAAUGACGGUACCUGACUAAGAAGCCCCGGCUAACUACGUGCCAGCAGCCGCGGUAAUACGUAGGGGCAAGCGUUAUCCGGAUUUACUGGGUGUAAAGGGAGCGUAGACGGCGAUGCAAGCCAGAUGUGAAAGCCCGGGGCUCAACCCCGGGACUGCAUUUGGAACUGUAAUGCUGGAGUGUCGGAGAGGCAGGCGGAAUUCCUAGUGUAGCGGUGAAAUGCGUAGAUAUUAGGAGGAACACCAGUGGCGAAGGCGGCUUACUGGACGGUAACUGACGUUGAGGCUCGAAAGCGUGGGGAGCAACAGGAUUAGAUACCC
rnacentral:rRNA from 1 species